rnacentral:rRNA from 1 species
UGCCUAACACAUGCAAGUCGAACGGGAAAGCCCUUCGGGGUAAGUACAGCGGCGGACGGGUGAGCAACGCGUGAGAAUCUGCCCUUUAGUGAAGAAUACUCCCGAGAAAUCGGGCAUAAUACUGCAUAAGUCCCUGCGGGGAGAAAGAUGGCUUUAUGCUGUCGCUGAAGGAUGAGCUCGCGUACUAUUAGCUAGUUGGGAGGGUAAUGGCCUACCAAGGCGAUGAUGGUUAACCGGCCUGAGAGGGUGUUCGGUCACACUGGAACUGAGACACGGUCCAGACUCCUACGGGAGGCAGCAGUGAGGAAUAUUGCGCAAUGGGCGAAAGCCUGACGCAGCGACGCCGCGUGGAGGAUGAAGGUCUUUGGAUUGUAAACUUC